AGUAGUCAUAUGCUUGUCUCAAAGAUUAAGCCAUGCAUGUCUAAGUAUAAGCAAUUUAUACAGUGAAACUGCGAAUGGCUCAUUAAAUCAGUUAUCGUUUAUUUGAUAGUACCUUACUACUUGGAUAACCGUGGUAAUUCUAGAGCUAAUACAUGCUUAAAAUCCCGACUGUUUGGAAGGGAUGUAUUUAUUAGAUAAAAAAUCAAUGCCUUCGGGCUCUUUGAUGAUUCAUAAUAACUUUUCGAAUCGCAUGGCCUUGUGCUGGCGAUGGUUCAUUCAAAUUUCUGCCCUAUCAACUUUCGAUGGUAGGAUAGUGGCCUACCAUGGUUUCAACGGGUAACGGGGAAUAAGGGUUCGAUUCCGGAGAGGGAGCCUGAGAAACGGCUACCACAUCCAAGGAAGGCAGCAGGCGCGCAAAUUACCCAAUCCCGAUUCAGGGGAGGUAGUGACAAUAAAUAACGAUACAGGGCCCUUUUGGGUCUUGUAAUUGGAAUGAGUACAAUGUAAAUACCUUAACGAGGAACAAUUGGAGGGCAAGUCUGGUGCCAGCAGCCGCGGUAAUUCCAGCUCCAAAAGCGUAUAUUAAAGUUGUUGCAGUUAAAAAGCUCGUAGUUGAACUUUGGGCUUGGCUGGCCGGUCCAUCUUUUUCGAUGCGUACUGGACCAGCCGAGCCUUUCCUUCUGGUAGCCAUUUAUGGCGAACCAGGACUUUUACUUUGAA
rnacentral:rRNA from 1 species